rnacentral:tRNA from 1 species
UGUGGCUCAGUGGCAGAGUGCCUGCCUAGCAUGCAUGAGGCCCUGGGUUCAAUUCCCAAUA